rnacentral:rRNA from 1 species
CGUGUAGGCGGCCGACUAAGUCGAAUGUGAAAUCCCAGGGCUCAACCCUGGAACUGCAUCCGAAACUGGUUGGCUUGAGUGUCGGAGGGGAAAGCGGAAUUCCUGGUGGAGCGGUGAAAUGCGUAGAGAUCAGGAAGAACACCAGUGGCGAAGGCGGCUUUCUGGACGACCACUGACGCUGAGACGCGAAAGCGUGGGGAGCAAACAGGAUUAGAUACCCUGGUAGUC